UGGCAAGGAAUGCUUCGAUUUGUGCAACU
rnacentral:piRNA from 1 species